rnacentral:rRNA from 1 species
UACGAAGGGGGCUAGCGUUGUUCGGAAUCACUGGGCGUAAAGCGCACGUAGGCGGAUUGUUAAGUCGGAGGUGAAAUCCUGGGGCUCAACCCCAGAACUGCCUUCGAUACUGGCGAUCUUGAGUGUGGAAGAGGUUGGUGGAACUCCGAGUGUAGAGGUGAAAUUCGUAGAUAUUCGGAAGAACACCAGUGGCGAAGGCGGCCAACUGGUCCACUACUGACGCUGAGGUGCGAAAGCGUGGGGAGCAAACAGG